AUGUUAAUCACCCAGCCACCUAUUGUCCUCCGUCUUCAGAAGAUGUGGGUCCAGCCCUCUUUCAUCUCACCUCUACUUUAUCCAACCACACCGCCUCGCACCCUCUGUCCUGCCAAUGGAGCUGUCACCACUUUCUCUCCUACCAGCCUGGGACUCAGGGGACCCAGGUCAGUUAAGAGAGUUAGUCCUCAGCCAUCUGCUCUCCAGUUGACAAAAUUUUUCUGACGUUAUAUUUUACUCUUUCUCUUUGUUCUUAUGGACUAUGCCUUUAAAAAUCCCCUUUACUGCUGUUUCAUUGGAGUUUUGAGACAGAGAAGAAAUAUAUUCAUAUACUCAAUCUACCUUCUUGACCUGGAAGUCCUGUAAUAUUUUUUCUUGAUUUAUCACUUUAAGAAAUGUCUACUGACUCUCUACUUUCAAAGGCAAGAAUUUUAGCUCAUCUGUACUAUCCUUUUCACUUCCUUCUAUUAGUUUUGAUUUGGAUUGGUUAUAUUUUUAUUUUAUUUAUUUGUGUCAAACUCUAGGCAGUAGGAACACAGCAAUGAAAAAAAUAGACAAAGUCCCUGUGUUCCCAGAGCUUACAUUUGAGUGGGGCAAACAGAGUUUAAAUUCUAUGUGUGUGUAUAUAUAUACACAUACAUGUAAUUAUUACAACUAUGAAGUCAUUAUGUAUAAAUUAUGUAUAUAAUUCAUGAGCCCUUUCUUAUUCUUUUUUUAAUUGAAGUAUAAUUAACU
rnacentral:lncRNA from 1 species